UCUGAAACUCGAGAUAUGAGCUAAACACCGAAUAGUGUCUGGGCUGCAGGACAGAUUCAGACGUCUCUUUUGUUGCUAAGAUUUGAACUUGAAACCAGCAGAUUUGAAUCUUGGACUCUUCAUGAAUGUUUUAUGCCUAUGUCUUAGCUUUUUAUC
rfam:Populus trichocarpa scaffold_19_contig_196, whole genome shotgun sequence.